rnacentral:piRNA from 1 species
UGUCCACGCGUGCCUCGGGAUAUCUCAGCUGUCAUGUAGACACAAGCUUCAGUCAUCUCCUUUUCUUUGAAUAUAUUUAAAGAUUAUCCCAGGUAGUUGUCAUAAGUCAAUAGAUAUCUCCACAGUGAUUAAAGGUGCUCGCGCAAGCUGGUUACCAUAUCUAUUCCUUGAGAUUCUGCCAUUGGAAUGUUAAAAACCAGAUUUCUACCCAUCACUGAUUUCAAUUUUAAAAAGUUUUCACGAAGAGAUGGUGAUCAAACUUCUCUCUUCACGGGUACGCUAAUUGGUUCUCCAUUUCUACCUUUAUCUUAAAGCUCAUAUAUUUGUCAUUCUCCCAAUCCGCUAUGUGCUGGAGAAAAAUCGAUUAACUAUCUCUUACAGUGCCAGCCCCCAAUCUGGAUGCAGGCCAGCAUAACUUGAAAGAAAGCGCUAUAAAAUAAAGUUAAGAAAUUUGUAAUCGUCAAUACUUAACAGGACUCACCUCUGCUGUGAGAAAUCAUAUCAGGGCUAUGAUAGAGAAAAAAUUCUAAAUCAUUUCAGUAGACUAUUGUAACACUGAUUACCGUUCUAAAUUUGAACCAUGGAAAUCCAGCCUCAUCCCCCAUACUGUAUAAAAUAAUUUAAGAAAAUGAAUUAAAAUAAGAUAAAAUUGUAAUCAAUGGUGCUCGCAACAGAAUUUAGAAAUGAUUGGAACACAUAACAAUUUAAGAAAUGUCCAGAAAGCAGGAUACCCAACAUAUAACACAAUAUGUCCUAGCACCAGCUAAAUAUCGACAGUAAUAUGCGUAACUUAUAUGUAAUAGCCAAUAACUAAUAUAAAACUACUUAAAUAAUAAAAUUUCUAACCUAUAAGGCUAUUCGUAGAAUAUAGCAAACGAUAGUAGAAUAUGCAUAAGCACCUUAACAAAAUAAAAAAAAAAGAUAUAUCUUAAGAAAACAAACUAUGUGCAAAAAAAAAAACAUCCUAAUGUAUAUAUAUAUAUGUAUAUAUGUACAUAGAAUCACAAUAGUUUUAGCUUCAGGCGGCGUUAUGUUUUCUUGAUAUAUUGCAUAUGUUUCCCUUGUAGAAGGACGGAUAAGCCCGAAAGCUUGAUGAGACCUGAAUAAAAGAUACUCAUCCCCAUAAACGUUUUUACUUUGAUAUCAGAAAUCAACGAUAAUAAAGGCUUUGUCACAAAUAAAGUAAAUCGUAAAAAAGGAAAACAGCGGCGAGUGAUGCGGUAGACAUUGCCUCAACUUAACUUUCAUUGCCUGAUAAAAUUGCUAGUGAAACAGGAAGCAUUAAUUAAAAUUCACGAUUUAAAAUCACAUCAGUAGGUGCGGUUAGAAAACUGAAAGGACGCUAUGAAUAGCUCUUAAAAUUAACGGAAAAUCACAAGGCGACAACAUGACAUUCCUUAAGUAAGACAACUGGAAAUUUUUGUAAGUCACUUUAGAUAUAGACUCUUAACUCAGGGUGUGAACUACUUCACCAAUUUUAUUAAUUAAAUAAUUAAAUAGUAUGGCUUUUCAUUAGGUAUAUAUUUCUAAAGUAUUCAAGAUGAAAAUAUAUACUAAAUUCGUGCCCCGCGGCGGGCGCCACUGUCGCGUUCCCUAUUUUAGACCUACGAAAACGGAGCAUGUAGGGAGUGACUUAGUACAAUUUCCUUAUUAAAAUUUACGAGAGUAAACUUUUGACGACAAUGUCACCACCAUCCUCGAAAUGCAUAUUGUGCCUUAGUAAAAGUCUCUUAUAAUAAAAAAAAAAAUCUGUAAGUGUAGUGUUUUGACAACAACCCCCUACCAUCUUCGGGAAAGCGUUUGAUUUAGAGAUAAACAAUGUAGAGCUUGAGCAUAUAAAACUAUAAUUGGAAGAAUGGGAUGUCAGAUACUAUACAAGGUACAGAAGAACUUUAGAGUUGCAGCUCCAAGUGGGACUUCCAACCACGCCGGGCGUGGGUGGGAUUCCCAAAAGGGGGGGGGGGGAAGGGGCCCAGCGUCAGGGAGUCCCGUUGAUGGAUCCUUCGCGCGGGAACUAACGAUGUCUCAGGAAUGUGGGGGUCCAACGUCCAUUCUCCCCCCCCUGCUUUUUCCUCCAUGAAAGGGAAAAUGGCGGACCCUUCCUCGUUGUCUCAACUUAUCCUUUUAAGAAAUUCGCCUUCUAGCGAUUUAGCCACCCACUGGAGACGCUGAGGGCCAUUGCAUAGAGGAAUUUAUAGCAGCCGAUCUCUAUAAUUCUAUAUAUAUCAACGGUAAAUAGAUUCACAAUAAUAAGGCGUUUAUAACCCAAAUUACACAGACAAUAGUCAAAUAAUAUACCUGAUGGAAUGCAACCAAUACCACAGUAUGUAAAUAGGCGGAACCCGACAGACAAAUAAUAGAUAGAAUGGAUGGGCGCACCAGAUUCAAAAUAGAAAUGAUAGCAAUUAGGCGUAUACUUCCCCAUAUCUGAUAAAGUAAUUCUUGUUCCAUUAACCAUGUUCCAUAGCUAAUUCUAAUCUCAUAAGUUACAUUAUUAUAUAAUAGUUUUUUUCUUAGUUUAGAAAUAUGUAAAUAGUCUACACUUAGCAUGUAACAAGAUGUUAAUAGUUCCUUUAUAAAAAAUUUUGUAAAGAUGUAAAUACAUUAGAUAAAUAUAUAUAGUUACUAACAUCCCACUACCAUCGCGUCUCUCCAGUAGAAGGAUUACCAUAUCCGAAAGCUAGAGCCUUGUUAGAAAAAAAAAAAUAUAUAUAUAUAUACACGACCUCGGAGUUGUAUUAUUGUCAUAGAGAUUUCGCAGAGGUUAAGACAUUGGAGUUAAUUUGCUAUCUGGAUAUAUGGGAAGGACUCUAUUUAUGAAGAUUACACCAAAAUCUAACAAAUAAAAGACAAGCAAACUAUAGACUUAUACUAUUGACAUUAAUAAUCAUAAUGUAUCUAAAACAAAGGUCUUCAAUAAAAUUAUAAAGAGAACCCAAUGAGUUUAAGACAACAUGAUCCAUAUUAACCUUUUUAAAUCAACGAACAAUACAAUGAUAGUCAAUGAUGGAACAUACUGAAACACAGACAUUCACUACAGUGUACGUGGCCAGCAAUUUAUGGGAGACUUGAUUAUUAACAACAUUCCCUUCAAAUAGGUAAGAAUCAUACUAUAUCGUAUUCAAACAGUGGGGAAAGACAGAUUCUUCACAUGAGGAUUAAAGUAUUAUUAAAACCUAACAGAUAUAUAUACCCUCAAAACAGCCAUGAUAAAGUCGUAAUUUUGCAUCUGUUGCUGUGUCAACAUGCCACAGCAAAUACACAGUACACAACUCUAUUCCAUCAGAGUUAGUAGUCCAUAUUCAGUAAUUUGAUAAUAAGGUGGGGGUGGAUUACCAUAAAACUAGAGAAUGAAAUUGUAUAAAAAGAAACAGAACUCUCUGCGUGAAUUAAGCAUAUAUAGGUAUUUAUUAGGCGAAAAUUUGGGGACAUUUUAUACUAGCGAGACAUUCUAUUUACAUAAUAACUAGGUAGAGGUGACUUAAGGUUACAAAUUCUCCGUUGUAUAAUAGGAAAACAUAGAUCUCCAUCUAUUCUAACGGGAUAAGGUACUAAAAAUACUAACAUUACUUUAAAUUAUCAUCUAAAGCCCUUUUAGGGCCCAUUCAAAAAUCUAAAUAGUUCUGCUUCUACUGGAAAACUAUAAAAGGGAGUUGGGCCAUGGUGGCGGUGCUUACCUUCUCUCGGAAAAAGGGGCGGUAAGGUCUGGUCUCCUCCACGUCUCGGACUGUCUGGCGGAAAUUACUGUCACUGAGCGGCUCUCCGUCUGUCUCCCCUUUUUAGUCAAAAACGGGCCCUUUUUAUCCUAUCCUUUCUUCAUUUCCAUUCGUUGGUCAUGCCAAAACCUUUAUUGGCUGGCAUUUUGAUUCGCCGAGAGCAAACACCCACGUGAUCAACGGGCAUCUUCAUUCGUCGGAAGCAAACACGCACGUCCCCCAUGACGACGCCCCCAAUUUCCCGUGUUGCCGCGCGAGGAAGAUAAUCGUAUAUUGGAUAAAACAAAUUAAUCCCUAAAAUUAAUUCCUUAGGAAUUAAUUAAUGUAUAUAUAUAUCCCGAGUAUAUAAAAAUUAAUAAUUUACAUGUCUAUAUGACACAUUGUUUUUCUUAGGUCACCUACUACCAAAAGGAAAUGAGGGGAAUAUAUGUACAUAUGGUACAGCAAUAUAUGUACAUAUGGUACAGCAGUUCUCAGCACGGAUGUCUCUGGAUGUCACCCGUGUCUUCAGGUGUCUGCCUUUUGUACAUCCUUCCAAGAGAGGCCCUGCGUCAGGGAAGGGGGCCUUUAGAGCAUCGUCGGCCAUCGUUGGGAGUUUUCCACCUAGGCAACAAACACUUCGGCGAGACACUGCGUAUAUAUAUGUUUAUAUGAUGUAAAUGAAUGUUUACAUCUUUGUUGGGUUUUGUUUAAUGGGAAAACUGACCCAACAUAUUCGUCUCUGACCUCCGUCAUCCUCUGCAUGUUGUUGUCCUCAGUUAUCCUGUCGACUUAAACGGGUUCUGUAGUAACCCCGACCAAGCCGACGUGGAAUGUACUGGGCAGUCGUGGUCGUGGGUGCGUGAUGGGAUUCCCGCACGGGGACAGCAAGGAAAAGAGGCAGGUCUAGAUGGUAGCUCCAAGAGGUAGAGAUAGACCACGGACGAAGGCAGUCGGACCACGGGCGCCGCGGAUGCCCUAAGCCUACUCGCGGAUAGAAGGGGUGAGAGAUCCGACCGACCGUAUAACGGCGUCACUCUUACUGUAUAUAUAUAGACAUUAGAUGUUUUAUGCAAACUUACCAACUCCUUACAUUCUAUCUACAACACGAUAUAAUAUAAAAUCUGUAAUCGAAAUUGAUUCCACCUUUUUAACUUGUUUGAUGCUAUUAAUAGCUAUUCGGAACCGCGCUUUGCUGGCCGCGAAAGAAGCUGUAGACUCAUCAACUUCACGUCCUUUAGCACGGUCCCACUCCAAAAAAACUAUAUGGUCUUCUUUUGUACAUUUAUUUUUUCUUGCAUCCACCCAUUUUAUUUUGAAUAUGUUGUUACUUAUCCACUUUAAAUUUUCUUGGAAAGUCCCGUUAUUUAGGUGUUUCUUUAGAAAAUCAUUGUAUAACAAUGGUUUCGGGCCUAUUCUGGGAGGAGGAGCGUAGGAUGCUCUUUGUAGCAUCUAUAUGUGUUCUUUGUGACUUACAUAUCUUGGUUUUGUGGUGUGUCGAUUUAUUAGUCCAGCGAUGGCUCAGAAAGUCUUUCAGAGUUGCUAUUUCAUCAGUGGUGUUAUAUUGCUCUAGAUCAUGAUUAGGAGAUUUAAAUUGUCUGCGGAAUUUCUGUGAAAGCAAGGGUAAAUUAAUUAUCUUGUAUAUGAGAACCUCUCCCUUCAUUUUCUCAGCCCUUGCAAUCUUUACCAUUAUGAUUCUAUUUGUCUCUCCUGUCCUUAUAAUAGUAUAAAUGUUCUGGCAUAAGCGAUAUGAUAUUCCCACCACCCUUGUCUAUAAUAAUACGAUUAUAAAAGAUGACGAUUAAUAAAUAGAGAUAAUAGUUCCUCCAAGGAUAGGUUCAGGUUAUAUAGUUUAUAAUUUCUUGGAGGAACAUUUGUUCUGCGGAGCCGGGCUUGCAGGGUGGCGUCAUCUUGCGGUCCCUCGCUCGUCCGCUCGAGUUGCUGGAUGAAGUUGCUUGCUGCGUAGGAUCCGUCGAAAGGAGAGAUGAGGGCUUCCUCCGCACGAGGCACUCCUAUUCCCCGAAUGGCGUCUGUUAGGCGGCUUACUAGUUCUUCGCAGUGGGGUUGCAUGUUGGUGAGGGCAUCCCCGAAGUAUUCGUCUCUGACCUCCGUCAUCCUCUGCAUGUUGUUGUCCUCAGUUAUCCUGUCGACUUAAACGGGUUCUGUAGUAACCCCGACCAAGCCGACGUGGAAUGUACUGGGCAGUCGUGGUCGUGGGUGAGUGAUGGGAUUCCCGCACGGGGACAGCAAGGAAAAGAGGCAGGUCUAGAUGGUAGCUCCAAGAGGUAGAGAUAGACCACGGACGAAGGCAGUCGGACCACGGGCGCCGCGGAUGCCCUAAGCCUACUCGCGGAUAGAAGGGGUGAGAGAUCCGACCGACCGUAUAACGGCGUCACUCUUACUGUAUAUAUAUAGACAUUAGAUGUUUUAUGCAAACUUACCAACUCCUUACAUUCUAUCUACAACACGAUAUAAUAUAAAAUCUGUAAUCGAAAUUGAUUCCACCUUUUUAACUUGUUUGAUGCUAUUAAUAGCUAUUCGGAACCGCGCUUUGCUGGCCGCGAAAGAAGCUGUAGACUCAUCAACUUCACGUCCUUUAGCACGGUCCCACUCCAAAAAAACUAUAUGGUCUUCUUUUGUACAUUUAUUUUUUCUUGCAUCCACCCAUUUUAUUUUGAAUAUGUUGUUACUUAUCCACUUUAAAUUUUCUUGGAAAGUCCCGUUAUUUAGGUGUUUCUUUAGAAAAUCAUUGUAUAACAAUGGUUUCGGGCCUAUUCUGGGAGGAGGAGCGUAGGAUGCUCUUUGUAGCAUCUAUAUGUGUUCUUUGUGACUUACAUAUCUUGGUUUUGUGGUGUGUCGAUUUAUUAGUCCAGCGAUGGCUCAGAAAGUCUUUCAGAGUUGCUAUUUCAUCAGUGGUGUUAUAUUGCUCUAGAUCAUGAUUAGGAGAUUUAAAUUGUCUGCGGAAUUUCUGUGAAAGCAAGGGUAAAUUAAUUAUCUUGUAUAUGAGAACCUCUCCCUUCAUUUUCUCAGCCCUUGCAAUCUUUACCAUUAUGAUUCUAUUUGUCUCUCCUGUCCUUAUAAUAGUAUAAAUGUUCUGGCAUAAGCGAUAUGAUAUUCCCACCACCCUUGUCUAUAAUAAUACGAUUAUAAAAGAUGACGAUUAAUAAAUAGAGAUAAUAGUUCCUCCAAGGAUAGGUUCAGGUUAUAUAGUUUAUAAUUUCUUGGAGGAACAUUUGUUCUGCGGAGCCGGGCUUGCAGGGUGGCGUCAUCUUGCGGUCCCUCGCUCGUCCGCUCGAGUUGCUGGAUGAAGUUGCUUGCUGCGUAGGAUCCGUCGAAAGGAGAGAUGAGGGCUUCCUCCGCACGAGGCACUCCUAUUCCCCGAAUGGCGUCUGUUAGGCGGCUUACUAGGUCUUCGCAGUGGGGUUGCAUGUUGGUGAGGGCAUCCCCGAAGUAUUCGUCUCGGACCUCCGUCAUCCUCUGCAUGUUGUUGUCCUCAGUUAUCCUGUCGACUUAAACGGGUUCUGUAGUAACCCCGACCAAGCCGACGUGGAAUGUACUGGGCAGUCGUGGUCGUGGGUGAGUGAUGGGAUUCCCGCACGGGGACAGCAAGGAAAAGAGGCAGGUCUAGAUGGUAGCUCCAAGAGGUAGAGAUAGACCACGGACGAAGGCAGUCGGACCACGGGCGCCGCGGAUGCCCUAAGCCUACUCGCGGAUAGAAGGGGUGAGAGAUCCGACCGACCGUAUAACGGCGUCACUCUUACUGUAUAUAUAUAGACAUUAGAUGUUUUAUGCAAACUUACCAACUCCUUACAUUCUAUCUACAACACGAUAUAAUAUAAAAUCUGUAAUCGAAAUUGAUUCCACCUUUUUAACUUGUUUGAUGCUAUUAAUAGCUAUUCGGAACCGCGCUUUGCUGGCCGCGAAAGAAGCUGUAGACUCAUCAACUUCACGUCCUUUAGCACGGUCCCACUCCAAAAAAACUAUAUGGUCUUCUUUUGUACAUUUAUUUUUUCUUGCAUCCACCCAUUUUAUUUUGAAUAUGUUGUUACUUAUCCACUUUAAAUUUUGUAUAUUCGGGCCUAUUCUGGGAGGAGGAGCGUAGGAUGCUCUUUGUAGCAUCUAUAUGUGUUCUUUGUGACUUACAUAUCUUGGUUUUGUGGUGUGUCGAUUUAUUAGUCCAGCGAUGGCUCAGAAAGUCUUUCAGAGUUGCUAUUUCAUCAGUGGUUUUAUAUUGCUCUAGAUCAUGAUUAGGAGAUUUAAACGGGUUCUGUAGUAACCCCGACCAAGCCGACGUGGAAUGUACUGGGCAGUCAUGGUCGUGGGUGCGUGAUGGGAUUCCCGCACGGGGACAGCAAGGAAAAGAGGCAGGUCUAGAUGGUAGCUCCAAGAGGUAGAGAUAGACCACGGACGAAAGCAGUCGGACCACGGGCGCCGCGGAUGCCCUAAGCCUACUCGCGGAUAGAAGGGGUGAGAGAUCCGACCGACCGUAUAACGGCGUCACUCUUACUGUAUAUAUAAAGACAUUAGAUGUUUUAUGCAAACUUACCAACUCCUUACAUUCUAUCUAAAACACGGUAUAAUAUAAAAUCUGUAAUCGAAAUUGAUUCCACCUUUUUAACUUGUUUGAUGCUAUUAAUAGCUAUUCGGAACCGCGCUUUGCUGGCCGCGAAAGAAGCUGUAGACUCAUCAACUUCACGUCCUUUAGCACAGUCCCACUCCAAAAAAACUAUAUGGUCUUCUUUUGUACAUUUAUUUUUUCUUGCAUCCACCCAUUUUAUUUUGAAUAUGUUGUUACUUAUCCACUUUAAAUUUUCUUGGAAAGUCCCGUUAUUUAGGUGUUUCUUUAGAAAAUCAUUGUAUAACAAUGGUUUCGGGCCUAUUCUGGGAGGAGGAGCGUAGGAUGCUCUUUGUAGCAUCUAUAUGUGUUCUUUGUGACUUACAUAUCUUGGUUUUGUGGUGUGUCGAUUUAUUAGUCCAGCGAUGGCUCAGAAAGUCUUUCAGAGUUGCUAUUUCAUCAGUGGUGUUAUAUUGCUCUAGAUCAUGAUUAGGAGAUUUAAAUUGUCUGCGGAAUUUCUGUGAAAGCAAGGGUAAAUUAAUUAUCUUGUAUAUGAGAACCUCUCCCUUCAUUUUCUCAGCCCUUGCAAUCUUUACCAUUAUGAUUCUAUUUGUCUCUCCUGUCCUUAUAAUAGUAUAAAUGUUCUGGCAUAAGCUAUAUGAUAUUCCCACCACCCUUGUCUAUAAUAAUACGAUUAUAAAAGAUGACGAUUAAUAUAUAGAGAUAAUAGUUCCUCCAAGGAUAGGUUCAGGUUAUAUAGUUUAUAAUUUCUUGGAGGAACAUUUGUUCUGCGGAGCCGGGCUUGCAGGGUGGCGUCAUCUUGCGGUCCCUCGCUCGUCCGCUCGAGUUGCUGGAUGAAGUUGCUUGCUGCGUAGGAUCCGUCGAAAGGAGAGAUGAGGGCUUCCUCCGCACGAGGCACUCCUAUUCCCCGAAUGGCGUCUGUUAGGCGGCUUACUAGGUCUUCGCAGUGUGGUUGCAUGUUGGUGAGGGCAUCCCCGAAGUAUUCGUCUCUGACCUCCGUCAUCCUCUGCAUGUUGUUGUCCUCAGUUAUCCUGUCGACUUAAACGGGUCCUGUAGUAACCCCGACCAAGCCGACGUGGAAUGUACUGGGCAGUCGUGGUCGUGGGUGCGUGAUGGGAUUCCCGCACGGGGACAGCAAGGAAAAGAGGCAGGUCUAGAUGGUAGCUCCAAGAGGUAGAGAUAGACCACGGACGAAGGCAGUCGGACCACGGGCGCCGCGGAUGCCCUAAGCCUACUCGCGGAUAGAAGGGGUGAGAGAUCCGACCGACCGUAUAACGGCGUCACUCUUACUGUAUAUAUAUAGACAUUAGAUGUUUUAUGCAAACUUACCAACUCCUUACAUUCUAUCUACAACACGAUAUAAUAUAAAAUCUGUAAUCGAAAUUGAUUCCACCUUUUUAACUUGUUUGAUGCUAUUAAUAGCUAUUCGGAACCGCGCUUUGCUGGCCGCGAAAGAAGCUGUAGACUCAUCAACUUCACGUCCUUUAGCACGGUCCCACUCCAAAAAAACUAUAUGGUCUUCUUUUGUACAUUUAUUUUUUCUUGCAUCCACCCAUUUUAUUUUGAAUAUGUUGUUACUUAUCCACUUUAAAUUUUCUUGGAAAGUCCCGUUAUUUAGGUGUUUCUUUAGAAAAUCAUUGUAUAACAAUGGUUUCGGGCCUAUUCUGGGAGGAGGAGCGUAGGAUGCUCUUUGUAGCAUCUAUAUGUGUUCUUUGUGACUUACAUAUCUUGGUUUUGUGGUGUGUCGAUUUAUUAGUCCAGCGAUGGCUCAGAAAGUCUUUCAGAGUUGCUAUUUCAUCAGUGGUGUUAUAUUGCUCUAGAUCAUGAUUAGGAGAUUUAAAUUGUCUGCGGAAUUUCUGUGAAAGCAAGGGUAAAUUAAUUAUCUUGUAUAUGAGAACCUCUCCCAUCAUUUUCUCAGCCCUUGCAAUCUUUACCAUUAUGAUUCUAUUUGUCUCUCCUGUCCUUAUAAUAGUAUAAAUGUUCUGGCAUAAGCGAUAUGAUAUUCCCACCAACCUUGUCUAUAAUAAUACGAUUAUAAAAGAUGACGAUUAAUAUAUAGAGAUAAUAGUUCCUCCAAGGAUAGGUUCAGGUUAUAUAGUUUAUAAUUUCUUGGAGGAACAUUUGUUCUGUCCAGAUCACUCGAGAGUGACACUGAGGGCAUUCCCAAGGACAAAGUUAGUGUUGACGAUAGGCCCUGAUCUCCCCAAAACCAACUGUUGAAAAGCUCUCUCUGCCUGAGAAGCAUCUGAUGCGUCUGCUGAGAGUUCUUUGGCUGUCUUUUCGAUUCCCCACAGGGCAAGGAGGAAACGAAAGGGUCCAUCAGCAGACAGUCUGAGGCCAAGGAAGUAUCUCCAGCUUAUUACAGGCAAUUUAAGUGUGUCUCUUGCCAUUGCAUUGUCACAGGCACCAAAGACUGCCACUAUGUCGUACAUCCUGCUUGGAGUGAUCAUCCAGGGAGGAGUGUAGAUGUUCAUGUUCCUUGAGAGUUUUCCUCUUAAAAGAGUGAAGUCUGGAACACCGGACAUACUAUUGACCAUGGCUUUGAUAUUUUCCUUUCCUCUCACAUUUAGGCCGAUGGCAUAGAUUCCCCUCUGGAAGACUUUGAAUUGAGCCCAUUUCAAAUUGCAGAGUUUGAUGGCUGUGAAGUAAGAUAGCCAAAGUGGGUCAAUGUUGGUUUUUUGGGACUCAUACCCAGCACCCUUUUCGCCUUCCCCUCUUUGACCAUUUUGGAACAGUCCAACCUCAUGCAAGACUCUAUUCCAUAGUCCAGCAUUUGCAUGAUCAGGGUUUGCAUCUAGCCAGGUGGUCAUGCUAGCCUUUGCCUCCUCAAACUUUGCUAAGUCUUUUUGGGAGUAGGCGCAAAAUGCAGAGCUUAGAAGCAAGGCAUUUUGAUUUGGGACUGCGACUCCUUCCAGAUCGAAAGUUCCCCCUGACUUCCUUUCUGUGAGGACACCCCCUUGAAUUGAACAAUGAUGGUGUCCCCCCCAUUGUUUUGCAUUAAAAAUGUAUUCCACAUAUUUCAAGUGAGAAGACCCAAGCCCUACUGCAGAUUUAGUUAGCCGUCUGGCCCUUUUAUUUAUCAUGUCCACAAGCAUUACCUGCAGCUCUGCUGAACAGCCUCUAGUGUCAAUCACAGCAUGGCAGGUCCCUCAAUCACUUGUCCCUCUGGAAAGUCUGGGAUCAAGUCUCUGAACUUUUUCACACAUCUGACGUAGGUAUCACUUUCCACCUUGCUAUCACAAGCAACAUUCUCAGCCAUGUAUUUAUUGUAGUAAUUGGUUGCUAGAGAUCUGGCAUCCGCGUCUCCAUUGAAGAAUUUUUCUGCUAUGUCGAAAAUUUUCUUAGACAUACAGAAGACCUGACCUCUUUGAGGGGCUGAUAGUCUGAGGAUAUCUUCAAUGAGUGAUGAUCCAAUUGCAUCGACCUCUGCCGGAUUGGUUAAUCCUUUAUCAGUGCCCAACCACAACUUGCCGACGUCAAACGCGCUCGGCGAAUAGGUUAGGGUGAAUGGUUGUCCGUAUUUUCUCUCCACGGAUCCAGGAGUAUUAAGAACGUCGUCGUAAUUGUACGACGCGAACUGGUACUGGUCGGUAAAUCCACUAAUGGUGUAUGGGACUAUGGCCGCACACACACGUCCGGAGUACACGUAUGAACGUGACUCAUAUUCGAUCUUAGCAGUCAGUGAGUGAAGUCUAAACUGACGGUAAGACACAAAGGUGGCAGACACAGAUGGAUCAGUGUACGGGCUCAGAGCUCGCACGAUGUUGGCACUGUCCAUCAAUAUUGUUUCGGGGGCUAUUUCGUAGGCAAACACAGACGCAAUUGGCAAAAAUUGUGCUGGUACGGGGUCUGCUUCACUAGUGAUAGCUCCAGGGGUCACUUUAUUUAUGAAAAUUUUGCCCAGCAUCACGGCGGCGUAUCCCACAAGGUGGCCAAGGGUAGUCCACCAAUUCCCGGUUGCGUCCGAUGCUUUCACGGCGGCUGGUAAGUAUGGUGCUAGAAGAAAGCGGGCGCGUUCGAGAAACGAGAUUGUGCCGAGUCGGUGAAGCUCGGGGCAUCCACGACGCUGACGUCCACGACGUCUUCGUCGCUGUCCUGUCCGACGGUUGAACUGUCGGAAUAGUUGAGACCGAUUGGUCUGGCGUUUGCGAGCCAUAUUUAGGCAGAAGGAUUAUGGCUACAAGAGCUAGUAGCAGGAAAAUCAUCCACUACUUAAAAUCGUAGAAUCGUAGAAGGUAGUGGAUCUGCAACAGAAGACUUGUUUCGACAGGUGACCUCGUAGACCUUUUCCUGUUCAGACUUUUUAAUCAGUUUUCAGGUAGGAGUCUUGGAAGGCCUGCCCAAAGCCUUGCUAUGAUUUGUUACCUAGCAACUGUGGGGAGGCUGAUUUCUUUGGGUGUCUUGUCAGUGUUGGAGAGCUUGAUUGUUAUGUUUCCCAGUGUUGGGUUGUAGACCCACUGAAUACCGAUCCUUUUUGAAAGGUGUCGAGAAGUGUUUUUGGCAUCACUGCAGAGUGAAGUGAUGUCUCCACCAACCCUGGCAAAAUCACUGUCAAGUUUCCCCGACAGAUACCCUGCCAGCUCCUCUUCCAGUGCAAGCCGUCCCAGCUUCCUCUCCGCAACUCUUUUAAGAAGGCUUUUGGUGAGUGCGGAGGUUUCAGAGUCU